rnacentral:rRNA from 1 species
UACGGGGGGGGCAAGCGUUGUUCGGAAUUACUGGGCGUAAAGGGCUCGUAGGCGGCCAACUAAGUCAGACGUGAAAAUCCCCAGGCUCAACCUGGGAACUGCGUCUGAUACUGGAUGGCUUGAAUCCGGGAGAGGGAUGCAGAAUUCCAGGUGUAGCGGUGAAAUGCGUAGAUAUCUGGAGGAAUACCGGUGGCGAAGGCGGCAUCCUGGACCGGCAUUGACGCUGAGGAGCGAAAGCCAGGGGAGCAAACGGGG